rnacentral:lncRNA from 1 species
AUGAUGUGGACAGUCUUCAGCCUGGUUCUUGUCAGCUCCCUUUUUGUCCUCAAAAGUGAAGCACUGCAGUGUUACACCUGUGUAGGUUCUAGUGAUGAUGACUGCAACAGACAAGGAAGUCAGCAGUGUCCAGGACAUGCAGAUGCCUGUGCAGUCAUUAGAGGACAAGCAAGUGGCAUCAUGAAGUCCUGCUCGUUCAGGUCCUUCUGCGAGCGCGCCCGGAGGGACGGCUCGAGGGCGCCCGGAGUGAGCGUGCACUGCUGCUACUCCAACAACUGCAACGCCAAGAGCCUGGCUCCCAGGGUCUCCAGCUCCAGCAGCUGCUUCCUCCUCCUCUUCACACUGCUCUGCCACCCCUUGUUGAAGCUGACAUGAAGGGCAAAAAGAAAAAAAAAAGUAUCCUGAAGCAACAACUCUGCCUUCUUAGCAAGGGAUGAUAAUAUCUCCUAAUCGUGCUCCGUGUACCAUAUAUCUCACUAGGCAAAAAAGCUGUAGGAAGACCUGACAGAUAUUUAGAUAAAAAUUGUUUCAUCUGCUAAAUAGGUCUUGGUUUCUGUGUAAGAAAUGCUGCCCUGUUGUUUAUUCUGGGGGGUUGAUUGUGUGAACACGUAACAUUUUCCUGCAAUUUAGAUAAGGAGAAAUCUUUGCUGCAGGUAGCCUGGUAGUAAGGUAAAGGGCAAAUGUCUGCCAAAUGUUGUUUACUGUGGGCAGACAUUCAAGCACAAAGUGACUGAAAAUUCUAGCAAGUAAGUUAAUCUUUCAGAGAGAAUUAGCAUACUAUACCAAGCCAGGAAACUUGAAAUACAGAUGAUUUAGUAUUGAUACAAACUGGUAGGAGAAGGCCAUUAAGAGAGUAAUGCAUGGAGGUGUAUUGUAUGGAAUAGGAUAUGUUCCUGGCAGGGGGUCUGGAACUGGAUGGUCUUUAAGGUCCCUUCCAACCCGAACCAUUCCAUGGUUCUAUGCUUGUGUGUAUUUCCUUGGGAAAAAAACACCUUCCAGUCUUCUCUUUUCUGAUCCUUUGAGAAUCUUACCACAGCAACAGAAGAAGAUGAAAGAAGAGUUCGGGAGUUGUUUUUGAACUGGUACUCCAUCCGAAGAUUGGCUCAGUCUAUCUCCCCUGCUGGUUUCAGAAGAAGAUGAAAGAAGAGUUUGGGAGUUGUUUUUGAACUGGUACUCCAUCCAAAGAUUGGCUCAGUCUAUCUCCCCUGCUGGUUUUAAAAACAAGUGAUUCAUCCCUCUCUUGUAGGCAAAUUAUAACUUGAGCUUAUAAUUCUUCUUAAUGUUUUAGUUAUGUAGACAAUUCUCCACUGUCCAUAACUGCAGUCUUUGGGAGUAUGAGUGUAUAUAUCUCUACAUAUCUCCCCCUUCAGUGAUGUGAUUGACUUGAGGUGGUUUAUGUAUCCUUUUCAUUCUGCAAAGUGAAUGCAAUUACUUGGAGGUCUUUAGAGGCAUAAGGGACUAAAUCAGUAUUUUUAAUAAACCCAUUCAUGGCAGUUUUACCAAGUAAAUGAUCCAGAAGGGGUCACAUAGUAGAAGUCAUUGUGCAUCACCACCUCCUUUGAUCCAAAACUCAGAGCACCAGGCAAGGAGAUGAGUGAUAUUUAUAGAUUUUCAUGUCCAGCUGUGAUGAUCUGGCCAACCCCUGGCACACAACAUGCACAGAAUUGGUCUGAAGUCCAGCUGGUGUAACUGAAGUAGAGGUGUCUUUCCAGUUCUAGUUUUAGUUGCCUAGUAGGAAAAAGGUUAGGUCAUCAAAUCUAUGGAACUCACAAAAUAUGUGGCAAAGUAGUUUUUUCCCUAGCUUUGUGUUGUGACUUUUUUUGGUAUAAUUCUUUGAAAAAUCAGUUCCAGGCAAGGCAGUUUGGUCUAUUUUUAGUAUCUAGGCCCAGUCUGAUAAAGCUGUUGAAUAGAAAGAUUGCAACAGUGCAGCAGAUCUUGGCUGAGAAUGCUCAUUUGGACUCCAGCAUCUCAUCUGCAUAAAAAUCACUUAAAUUGGUGUAAGUAUUUUUCAUUUAAUUCUCAGCUUGAAGCAGUUCCUAAAAUCUCUUCUGCUACAGGAAGCAGGUAUUGAUUGUAUCUUUAUCAUUGUGUGGUUCUGUAAUGAUAAAUCUGUAUUGAAUGUAAUCUCUGUAUAUGCUCACUGCAUUUCCUUAAUGAGAAAAUAAAUUACAUGCAAUGGCUGGCAUUGUCUCUU